rnacentral:rRNA from 1 species
UACGGAGGGGCUAGCGUUGUUCGGAAUUACUGGGCGUAAAGCGCACGUAGGCGGCUUUUUAAGUCAGAGGUGAAAUCCUGGAGCUCAACUCCAGAACUGCCUUUGAUACUGGAGAGCUUGAGUCCGGGAGAGGUGAGUGGAACUGCGAGUGUAGAGGUGAAAUUCGUAGAUAUUCGCAAGAACACCAGUGGCGAAGGCGGCUCACUGGCCCGGUACUGACGCUGAGGCACGAAAGCGUGGGGAGCAAACAGGG